rnacentral:misc_RNA from 1 species
GAUGAAGAACGUAGCGAAAUGCGAUAAGUAGUGUGAAUUGCAGAAUUCAGUGAAUCAUCGAAUCUUUGAACGCACAUUGCGCCCUUUGGUAUUCCUUAGGGCAUGCCUGUUCGAGCGUCAUUUAAACCUUCAAGCUAAGCUUGGUGUUGGGUGACUGUCCGCUUCACGGCGGACUCGCCUCAAAAUUAUUGGCGGCCGGUACAUUGGCUUCGAGCGCAGCAGAAACGCGAACUCGGGCCCGUCGUAUUGCUCCCAGAAGCUAUCUUCACAAUUUUGACCUCGGAUCAGGUAGGGAUACCCGCUGAACUUAAGCAUAUCAAUAAGCGGAGGA